AUACGUAUGGAGCAAGCGUUAUCCGGAUUCAUUGGGCGUAAAGCGCGCGUAGGCGGUUUGUUAGGUCGGGAGUCAAAUUCAGGGGCUCAACCCCUGCCCGCUCCCGAUACCGGCAGACUUGAGUUUGGUAGGGGAAGGUGGAAUUCCCAGUGUAGCGGUGGAAUGCGCAGAUAUUGGGAAGAACACCGGUGGCGAAGGCGGCCUUCUGGGCCAUAACUGACGCUGAGGCGCGAAAGCUAGGGGAGCGAACAGGAUUAGAUACCCUGGUAGUCCUAGCCGUAAACGAUGGACACUAGGUGUGGGGGGUCACCCUCCGUGCCGCAGCUAACGCAUUAAGUGUCCCGCCUGGGGAGUACGGCCGCAAGGCUAAAACUCAAAGGAAUUGACGGGG
rnacentral:rRNA from 1 species